GAAUGAAGAACGUAGCGAAAUGCGAUAAGUAAUGUGAAUUGCAGAAUUCAGUGAAUCAUCGAGUCUUUGAACGCACAUUGCGCCCCCUGGUAUUCCGGGGGGCAUGCCUGUCCGAGCGUCAUUGCUGCCCUCAAGCACGGCUUGUGUGUUGGGCCGUCGUCCCCCUCCUAGGGGACGGGCCCGAAAGGCAGCGGCGGCACCGCGUCCGGUCCUCGAGCGUAUGGGGCUUCGUCACCCGCUCCGUAGGCCCGGCCGGCGCUUGCCGACGACCAUCAAUCUCUUUCUCCAGGUUGACCUCGGAUCAGGUAGGGAUACCCGCUGAACUUAAGCAUAUCAAUAAGCGGAGGA
rnacentral:misc_RNA from 1 species